rnacentral:rRNA from 1 species
AUUGAACGCUGGCGGCAGGCCUAACACAUGCAAGUCGAGCGGUAACACAGAGGAGCUUGCUCCUUGGGUGACGAGCGGCGGACGGGUGAGUAAUGCCUGGGGAUCUGCCCGAUAGAGGGGGAUAACUACGGGAAACUGUAGCUAAUACCGCAUAAUGUCUACGGACCAAAGUGGGGGCUCUUCGGACCUCAUGCUAUCGGAUGAACCCAGGUGGGAUUAGCUAGUUGGUGAGGUAAUGGCUCACCAAGGCGACGAUCUCUAACUGGUUUGAGAGAAUGACCAGUCACACUGGAACUGAGACACGGUCCAGACUCCUACAGGAGGCAGCAGUGGGGAAUAUUGCACAAUGGGCGCAAGCCUGAUGCAGCCAUGCCGCGUGUGUGAAGAAGGCCUUCGGGUUGUAAAGCACUUUCAGCGGGGAGGAAGGGUCGCUAGUUAAUACCUAGUGGCAUUGACGUUACUCGCAGAAGAAGCACCGGCUAACUCCGUGCCAGCCGCCGCAGUAACAC